CGAGACUCUGAUCAGCCAUGCCGCGUGCAGGAAGACUGCCCUAUGGGUUGUAAACUGCUUUUAUAUAGGAAGAAACCUUGGUACGUGUACCAAGCUGACGGUACUAUAAGAAUAAGGAUCGGCUAACUCCGUGCCAGCAGCCGCGGUAAUACGGAGGAUCCAAGCGUUAUCCGGAAUCAUUGGGUUUAAAGGGUCCGUAGGUGGAUAAUUAAGUCAGAGGUGAAAUCUUGCAGCUCAACUGUAAAAUUGCCUUUGAUACUGGUUAUCUUGAGUUAUUAUGAAGUAGUUAGAAUAUGUAGUGUAGCGGUGAAAUGCAUAGAUAUUACAUAGAAUACCAAUUGCGAAGGCAGAUUACUAAUAAUCAACUGACACUGAUGGACGAAAGCGUGGGUAGCGAACAGGAUUAGAUACCCUGGUAGUCCACGCCGUAAACGAUGGUUACUAGCUGUUUGGACCUUGUGUCUGAGUGGCUAAGCGAAAGUGAUAAGUAACCCACCUGGGGAGUACGUUCGCAAGAAUG
rnacentral:rRNA from 1 species